UACGUAGGGGGCGAGCGUUGUUCGGAAUUACUGGGCGUAAAGGGCUCGUAGGCGGCCAACUAAGUCAGACGUGAAAUCCCUCGGCUUAACCGGGGAACUGCGUCUGAUACUGGAUGGCUUGAGUUUGGGAGAGGGAUGCGGAAUUCCAGGUGUAGCGGUGAAAUGCGUAGAUAUCUGGAGGAACACCGGUGGCGAAGGCGGCAUCCUGGACCAACACUGACGCUGAGUGGGCGAAAGCCAGGGGAGCAA
rnacentral:rRNA from 1 species